ACGUCUGUGUAAAAAGACAGAAAGGUGUAGACCCAAAACAUGACACUGGGCUUUGCCUUUACACUGGAAUUUGUAAACAUUAGACUCUGAUAUGAGAGUUAUAAUUCUUGAAUUCUUGACAUUUAAGUGUCGAGUCCUUCCCAACAUGCCUGAUUUGAGGAGAGCCGCAUUCCGCUCCCAUGUAUGCUGAGAGUUGAUCAUGGAAGUGACAAUAAAUUGAAUCUUGAAUAGAUUCAGUAAGAAGUGUAGUAAAGAUCACUAUUUGUUCACGAUUUUGUUUCCUUUCACUUCCUCUCUUUUCCUACUGCACCUCCUUUAGUACACUUCCUGGUUUCUCACUCUCUCCUCUCCCCCUUGAUUAGUUGUUGUUUGCACUCUGUCACUAAUUAAUUAGAUUGAAUUCACCUGCCUACUCCUUAUUUAAGACUGCACUCCCUUGCACUCAUGUUUUUAUCCUCACAUGGGGCGGCAGUUCAACAAUGCAUGGAUGUUCAAUCCCAUGUGUGUCGUAUGUUACCCUUAUGAUUCACCUAACUUGAAAAGAAAUAAACCUGUUACAUAAAAA